AUUAAUUUAUUAUUACUUUUACGUUUAAUUAGGAUAAGAUUUUGUAGAAAAACAAAGUCACCGUAUAAGUAAAUUAUAUAAACAUAAAAAUAGAAUAAAAUCAGUUCGUUUUUUUUACUUUUUAGUAAGGGAAUCUCACAUUUUUUUUUUUUUUUUUUCGUCCAAAAGUUUUAUUACUUAAGCCCAGUGGACAUGCAAAUACAGAAGAGUUAAACUAGAGGAUUACAGACGAGAUUUAAAAGGCCCAAACUAAACCAUAUUACAAAAUACAAAAGAUAAUAAAACUUUGAUGGUUUAGCAUAAGACACGUGGAGAUGAAGCACCUCCUCUAAGCCACGCAUCAAAUUGAAGCAGUUCCACGUCUCCACCGUCUGUUCUUCUCAAGCAUCACCGGCAUUCGAUUAGCCACCACCAAAUAACCCGAAGAUGAUGAGAAUCCUCUUAUCUUCUGCCGAUCUCAAAUCCAAUCAAAGGAUACGUCGAAGUCUACCGGAUCAAGUAUAUUAAACUUCUUCAAAUUUUCUUCGAGUAUCAUCAACUCCGGGGAAGCUCCACCACCGAUUACAUCCAGAUUUUGAUGUAAUACUUUGCUUUGCUCUUAUGAAAUGAGCAAAAUAAAAGUGACGAAGAUAUUACUCCUCGAAUAGCUGAAGAAACAAAGAAAAUUUGGAAGUGAUUAUCGGAGAAAUCAACGGGAAAAUAACAUAACUGGAUGAGAGAUCUUAUCUCGGUAAAACGAGAAAUAAAACCGGACUUAGCCGGUACAAAGAUCCGGAUCUUAGCCGGAAAUUAUAUUAUAUGACAAAAUUCCGGUGUACUGGAAAUCUCUUUCUCUCUCUGAAAAAUAGAGGUGUGAUAAGAGAGAGAAUGAACUAUUUCAAAUGAGCAGAGUCCAAGGGAAUCUCACAUUUACAUGUAUGGUUUAUCAUCAAUUAAUUUACAUAUAAAUAUUACCUGAAGAUUUUAUUCUCAAAGUUACCAACUUAUUACUUACUAGUUACCACACUGAAAUGUAUCUGUUUACUAGUCACCACAAGUGUAUCUGCUUUGCAUUUUUAUCAAAUCAAGUUUUAUGGAUCUAAUCUCAAUCACAGUGCUGCAAGAUCUUUUUUACCAAAGCAAACAUCUAAAACUGUAAAAAAAUAACAAAAAUCAGACCUGCAUGGCUGCAUACAGCUUUGUUCUAAAGCAAGAUAUCAUCAGGUCAGGUCUAAAUCAAAAUCAUAUGUUCGUAUAUAGAUUGGUGAUAAAUAAUUUAUUACGAAUGACUUUGCCAUUUGAUCCAUAAUAGUUUAUAUUAGUCUGUUAAUGUUGUCAUCUCUUGAUAUAGAAUGUAUAUAAUUUGUUGACUAAAGAAAAAAAGGUCAAUGGUUACAGAAAAUUAAAGUAUCAAUCUUGUAAUGAAACGGUGGUCAUAGACUCAUGUUGGUGUAACUAUGUUUACAUCUUGGGUAUAUAUUAUAGAGUACCGAGUACCAACCCCAUCAUUCGACAAAUAAUAAUAAACCCGUCAAAGUAGUGAAACGGUGUAUCAGAAUAUGAAUCUUUUGUAUCAGAAUAUGAAUCUUUUCAAACAGACAAACAGUAUAUGUUUAUAGAAUGAUAGACAAAAUUAGACACCAAUUACUGUGUAUAUAUGUAACCAAAUGAUUUUUAUUUUUGUUCCAUACAUUCCAAGAAUGAACCGAGCAAAUAGACGAGAGAACAUCGAGUAAAGUAGCACAUGAGAAUAGUCAUAUACAAAACAUUUGGUAGGUUUGUGAUUUCUCAAAUCAUACGAGGUCCAUAAAUGGGUAAUAAUUAUAUCUCUUAAUUACAAAGCGAAUACUAGAAACAAAAUCAUCAUCUCUCAAAACUCAAAAGCAUAAUAAAUAAAUAAUAAUACAUAUAUUUGAAGCCGGUCGUGUCAAGCGUUGGCCACUUGCCAUAUGUGGAGCCCAAUUUAAUUCCUUUUGAAUAUCCAGCAAACCCCUUUUGGUUCAAUUGAUCUCGGUUAAUUUCGGUUUACCAACCACCAUUAAAAGACGAGCGAAAAGAGUACUAGAAUUUUGGCCAAGGUAUAUUUCUCUGAACAGGAGUGACCGAGUGACUAGUGAGUGAGUGUAAAAGCAUAUAUUUCCCUGAAGAAGCCGAUCUCUAUAGUCUCGUUAUGAUACAAAAAGGAAAAAAAACAAUCGGCUUGUGUUUAGGAAGGGGGGGCUUACAAAUCUACAAAAGUGGAAGUAAUAUGAACACAAAUCUGAAAAUAGACCAUAGCUUUGCUGUUUUAUAUCUUUGGUUUGAGGAUGAGCUACUUUUGGAGAUGGUUUCGUUUGUUUGGUGUUGUUCUGAGGAAUUAUUAUGAGUCUUUAUUCCGGCUGCCAUUGCCGGAGCUACCGCCUCUGUUUUGUUUGUUCUGGCAACAGUUGUGGUUGUCUCUUCCAUGUCAUAGCCUGGCGUUAAUAGAGAUAUCCAUAGUUCAUAUAAUGAUAUAUAAGUCACAACACAAAGGAGUUAAAAAAUGUAAGAAGAAACUUACAGUCAAACUUUUUCCAAGCCAAUACGAGUUUCUCUCUGUCGAAUACUACACGAUACCCGGUCAUGUAGUUUUCUGUUUCAUAAAAAGCAAAACAAUGUGAGGUCACCAUUUACCGGAUGUUCAAUGAUCGAUUAUAGGAGAGACUGAUCUUACGUCCAAUUAUGUUGAGUUCAGAGCUUUUGACAAUGGCCAGGCAAUAUACAAGUUCACCCUGUGAAAGAUACAUAGAGAUACUGAAAGUAUCAGCACACAGAUAAAAAUUUGGUUGAAGAAGACGAGAAACGAUAGGGAAAGAAGUAAAGCAAGAGAGUAUAACCUCGGUAGAGAUCACUAUGAUAGGAUCAUUGAUGGUGAAGUGACUGUUUCCUUUCAUUGUUAAGCUUAAACUCGGUAUCAAACUGGCAUUCGCCUCAUUGCUAAUCACACCAUUUACAAGAAGAUCACUUAGAUUUGAGUGGCAAGUAAACACUUGAAUGUAGAUGGAUAAAAACUCAUACCUCAUAUCAUAACAAUACUCGAAUGGAAUCCUUGAAUCUGGUGAAUGGCGCUUAUCUUGGGCUUGAGAAUGAAACUGAAGAAGAUAAUGUAAUUAUCGAGCUAACAAAAUUGAGCAUCUCGGGGAACAAACACAACAUAUGAUGGUGUUUAGAUGCUUACACUCUCAGAAACUGUCGUAUACAUCGGAUCCACUAAAUAAGUAAAUGAUGUACCGGUGUCAAAGAGCGCUGUAAACUCAUCAUCUAUUAGAGUAGUCCCCACACGCACCCGAGUCACCGUGAUGUUGUAGUUUGGGCUGCAAUGAAUUUCACUACGAUCAAAAGGUGCAUUCAAAAAGCAACAAAAAUCUACAAUUUAGCGCAUAAGUAAAUUACCACUUACUGUGAGGGAUUCAGAUUAAACGGUGUCUCUUCCUGAUCAGAACUACCCUUGUCCCCAAAACUGAUCCUUCCAACUCCAUCAUGUCCGAAACACAUGGAGAAAGAAUCAGCAACCAGACCUUCCCUCGCCAAAACACUUGGAACCGAUAUCUUUUCCAUGCCAAGACCAAAUAAACCAUUUGGUGCUGCAAUGUCAAGAAAAGAACCACUUUGAACCUGCCCACAUCUGCAAAAAUUUCACAUUUUCAGGAACUUACUACAUUGAACUUUCACACAAGAGAACCUAGGGAAGCAGUUGUGAAGAGGCUGACUGCUACUAACCCGAAUGUAACAUAUGCCUCAACACGCUCUGGAUUCUUAUCCUCGGUUGUUAAGUGCAUAACAUCUUCCAUAAGUAUACCAGAUGUGGAAGUCUGAGCAGAGACAUAAGAUACCAUAUAAGGGCAAGUGCUGAAUGUUCCAAGGCAUUGAUUACGCUGUGCACAUAAACUGUUAUUGCAGGUGACCUUCUUGUUUGUAGUCGAAACUUUAGGAUUGUAAAUGCUCAGUUCAAAUUCCUAACACAGCAAACAGAAACCCAUAAUCAAGGAUUCGAUCAUGGAUAGCCUAAGAUCAGUAAACUCAAAAACUGUAGUUGCUAAGAGUGUCUAACAUACAGAAGCGUAAAUGGCUCCUUCGGUUGGUGCGCAUUUUCCGCAAUCACAAGGGACCCAAAAGAGAUCGCUUCCUGUAUCAAGCGCCACCAUGAAUCUCAUUCCCGGAGUACCCAAUUUCACCGUCGUGUAAUGCAAACUGGUAUCAAAUUGAAUCAGAAAAGUCACACUAAUCCUGAAGCAGAGAGGUUACUCUAGAACAAUCAAAGCAAAAUGCAACUUACAAUCCGAGAGAGCUGAUACGAGAAGUGGAAUUGCCGUCGGAAAAAGUGAGUGACGACUCGGAUCCGGAGUCGGAGAGUCGACGCCCACGGAUUAGCCAAUCACGGAGGACGAGAGCGUUGAAGUAUUCGAAGGUUCCCUUAGGGGGAAACUUAGCAGACCUUCCGGUUGAAUCGGACCAUUGUUUGACUUCGUCGGAGAAUCUAUGAUGCAUCUCGAAGGUGAAGAUACGACCAUUGCAGCUCCCGGAGCUCAGCAACAUCAAAAUCGGGAUCAAGAACAGAGUACUCUUGAAGAAACAGCACGACAUUGGAAAACGAUUUCGAAACUCGACAGAUUAUCCUACUUUCCCGGAGGUUUUUCUCGGGAAAACAAAGCAAAAACGAGAAAUCAUGACCAGGAACACAAGAUAUUAUUCGAAUAUCAAAAAAUGCGUGGGGGUUUAGAUCUUGGAUUAGCGAGAACAAAAUUAGGUUUUUUUUUUUUGGGAAGGAGAAAGAUGAAGCUUAGUGAGUUUGAAAGAGAGGAAGAGAAGAAGAGAUCUACGUUCGUCGUUGUUCUUCGUCGUUAGGUGAGAGUGUAACAGUCUUGUGUAUAAGUCCAUCCAUGUGUUGCAAAAGUGAACUGUUGUGACUCAUUUCAUGGGUCCAACCUAUUAAUUUUUUAAUAUUCUCCACCACCCCAUACUUUCUGGUUUUUCUGACUUCUCACCCCGAAUUUAAUUAAUUCUUUAUUAAAGGGAUCCAACUGAUGAAAUCGAUAAACGUAACCCGCGACACAAAAAAUGAUGCACAAAGUAUAUGGGAUAUACACACAAGGAAGGAUAUACAAAAAGAUUUGGUCAAGGAGGUAAAGUGGUAAGCUAAUAAGACUUAUAAGGUCGUAUAAUCAUCUGUUGUUGUAAGUGUCCCAAUCAAAAUUUGGGUGAGAAUAAGCUUCGUAAUCUACAGGUCCGUCGACGAUGCUAUCGACUGUCUGAAUACUCCGGAGAAGAGCUGGUUGGUACCGUUCUGUAUCCGAAGGCAGAAGCUUGUACAUCACGAGCACCCCUAGUGUGAAUAUGGCUUGAAGCUUUGUGGAAUCUCCUUUGACUGAAAAGAAGAGCAGCAUUGAGACGAGGUACAGGUCGACACAGAACCGCAUGAUGCACAAAACCGUGUCCAUUAGCUUCCCUUCAUUGCCUGCAGGGAAACCACGAACUCUGUACACGUAGAGGAAGUUGUAUUUGUCAACUAUGUAUCUGUAACCAAAGUAAACUGCGCCUACAGGGACCACGAGUGGAGCGAAUGAUGAGUAUAUCAUUGUUAAGGCAAAUAUGGUGAGAUUGAAGGCAUAGUAUUGGGCAAAGUCGAAUUUUUGUUUAGGGAUUGGUGAUGUCCGGCUGAUUGGGUAUUCAGAGAGGUCUUGGCUCAUCGGUUCGAUGUCGCCGAAUCUAGGAGACUCAAACAUGUUUUCAGGGAGAAGUGGUGUCUCAAGGUUGCUGCUUGGCUCUUGGUUUUCCAAAGCGUACUCUUCGUUUUUCUCGGGAACAAGCUGAAGCAUGUCGUUCUUCCUGAACUUCUGGAUUUUUUUCUUGAUCCAUGGGAUUGGAGCAAGUAGAUCGAACGAGAUUCCUAAGAACGUGCUUGUGAUGAGGAAAGCUAGAGCAGAAACGCAUGACCUCGAUAAGAAGGAAGGGCUCAUGUAUUCUUCAAUCCUCUUGCAAUCCUCGCCAUCUAAAUAGCAACGACUCAUUUUUAAGAGUGCACUUUCCAGCGACGAUUCGACAAGAGCCUUGAGAAUGAUGAGGUUCACAAGGAAGAAGCAAACCAUCUUCAAGAGAGCUGCUCUUUGUUCCCCAGAAACUGUUAAGUGCCGCUCAAACUUAGAAAGAUACGAGAGAGCAGAUGGGAUCACAAUGUACAUACUAACAAAUAUGAAGACGUUGGGCAGGAACUGAAAAAUAAGGGAUCCGAUCCAUCCAGAAGUUUGCACCCAAGUGAGCCAAGACUGAGCACUAUCCAAUGCUUCAGCAUUGAAGAUUCGGCCAGCACUUACCAAGGCACUGAUCAAGGCCAAUGGGGAGCUGAAAAACACAAGAAUCAACAGUAGAAUAGUAUUAACAAUCACUCUCCGCACAAUAAGAGCAACUUUUGUUAGUCCCAGAUGAUUCCAAUAGAUAUCAGUAGCCAAGGGUGCUCUAUCCACUUUCCACUGGUUUCUCUGUAACCGAAGCUCGGUGACAGAGAAGAAUUUUCCAGUACGCCUUGAUCUUUCGUUUCGAAAAUCCUGAACAGCCUUAUUAGCUGUGUACACAUCUUUAAACAUCACGAAAGCAACCCCAGCACCUUGUGCUCGUCCUUCUUUAUAAGCUGCUAACUGAGACUCUAGAUCAGCUCUUAACUCUUGCAGCUUCCUUAGUUUUUCAUCAUCUGUAAAACCAAACCUCUCUGUAAUCUGAGACCACAAACCCUUCAACUUAAUCCACAAAGCAAAAACACAAUACAGUAGUCCAUUAUCUCCAGCAUUCUCAAACUCCUCUGGUAGAAGCCUAGAGUCCAUCUUGGCAACUAACCAAGUAAUCUCAUCUCGAACACGAACCAACUCUGUAGCAAGAUCAUCCAAUGCACACAAAUCCAUGGGAACAAUAAUCUUAUAAACUUUCCCCGGGUACUUAAGCCUAAAGCACUCUUCAAACUCAACUCUAUCAGACCCUAAAUUCUUAGGCAAACCCUGCACCAUUACAGUAAACACAGCGGUGGAAUUCGCAUUGGGAUCGCUGAUAUUCCCAUUCCCAUCUCGAAACCUAGUAAACUUCAACCUAGCUUCAAUAGCAGAGAUACCGAAAUGCGAGAUAACAACAACAACCACAAGAAAAACAAAAUGCAGCCAAAGCAGACCGGAACCUUUCUUUAUAUGCGUAAUCAUCGUUUUCGAAAGCUCAUCACUCAGCAAAGCAGUCCCGGCAUAUAAAUUCAACGGAAGCAUAACCGAAACAGCCAAAACAGCAAUAGAGAAAAGGAGCACAAAGCUCCCACCUUCGAUCAAAAGGAACUGAGCAGCAUCAGCACCGCAGUGCCGAGCGAUCUCGCGACAUGUAGCUUUCCAAACGGCGAGGAGCUUAGAGAAGAGAGCAGAAGGACCAGGCAUACGACGGUGAUCGCUUCGGAGCUUAACGAAAAGAAAGAUGGAGAGGCAGCAUAAGAGGCCAAUGACGGAGAUAUUAAGCAGAUACUGAAUGUUACCGUACCAAGCAUCUGGGAUUUCAGGUAAGUCGCCGGAGGAAGGAGGAGGAGAGAAUGAAUCAUCCCUUGUCAUUGACGAAAUCGGCGGCAUCGCAGCGCUGCGAUGCAUCGCGACAAUUUCUACCAAAUUAAGAAGCUCAAAAUCUUCAAUUUACUUUUUCUCUUCAGAGAUUCAGGAAUUUAAAUCACGAGAGAAAUUGGGGGCUAGGGUUGGCUGGCUGGGCUAGUAGAUCGAAGAAGAUGAUUGGUAAUGGUAAUGGUAGAAACUAGAAAGUAAAUAAAAAAAAACUGGAAGGUUUGCGAUCGCGGUUUGGAAUCUAAUCUCCUAGAUUCUUCCUCCCAUUUAUAAACCCAGAUGAAAAGUUCCAUAAAUAACCGGGACAUCUUUUUGGUUUUUGUUUUGUUUUUUCUUGCAUGGAUAAAUAAUGUUUGACACAGAAAUAAUAUAUUAAAAAGAUUAAGAUAUGAUACGGAUUUGUAAAAAUAUUAAUUUUUACAUAUAAUCGUUACUAAUGUAUAAUUUUUUUGUUCUUCUGAUAAAAUAAAAAAAUGUAAAAUCGAUUAUGCUAAUUAAUUUAAAAAGUUUAAUAAAUAUUAAGAAAAUAAAAACAUAUUUCUCUAUAUAUUUGGCGCUUGUGAGACUUCAUUUUACUAUUAGUAGUAUCACAGAAUAUAACCGAAUUCAUCAUUCGCGUGCCAAAAAUACGUACAUAUAUUCUUACAAUUGAUAUUAGGAAAGUCAGUCAGUGGAGUUACUUGGUGGAGAAUAAUUAAUUAGGGUAAUCCUCUCAGUUUUGUAUUUUAUGGAGGAGAAGAUCUUCGUCGGCUCUUAGCAAAACGCACCCAUGUCUCGGUUUCUCAGCCGUCUCUCUCUCAUGAUAAUAUUAGUGUGUAGUAUGAAAUUUAUGUAAGUUCAUAAUUCAGUUUCUAAUUGAUGAGUAAACUAACUUUUUUACUUGUUCUGUUAAUCAAUUCAAAGUCACAACAAAAUUUAUAGACAAGUGACCUUGUCUGAAGGCUCUUAAUGGUGUGUUCCGCAAAUGAGAAUGAUUCCUUUACCUCCAAGCUAGGCUGCAAAAUCCAACACGCUUGGGUAUUCGCAUUUGCCAUUGUAGGCUAUUGCAGUAAGAGAUAUGAGACAGAGAGCAUAUUGAUAUUAGUAGCUUCUAUCUCUAUAUGGAGUUCAGAGAUGAUACCAAGGAUGCUUUUGCUUUAAUCACUUCCCCCAUAGAAACUAGAUGCAGUUUUCUAUUUCGACACUCGUUUAAUUUUCAAAAAAGUUAUUUUUACAAUCCAACUUGAUGAGAUAACCCUUACAGUCGUUAACGAAAAAAGGAAAAUAAACACCUUUCCUCGUAAAGUAUUAUUGUACUUAAUAGGACUUUAAUAUUUCCAUUUUAAUCAAACCCUGUAUUUUGAAGCACGUUCGAGAGAUUUACAUUUUUUUAUAAUCUCUAUUCUCUUCUAAUGUUUUUUUCUGCUUCAACUUUUUUUCCUUCUUUUUUUUUUGGAUGUGGUUUGAUACACUACGAAUAAAGAAUUUGAUUACUGUUUUCAAAUUUCUCUGUUAUUUUUUUACACUCACAUUUAUUGGAAAAAUAAUAAUAAAUAAUUAACACUUUAAUAAAUUAAUUUUUUCAGCUUAAAACUUAUAGAAAUAAAUAAAAUUAUUCCAUACUUUUUUGAUCAGGUCCUUUUAUUUUGUUUAGUAAUUUAAAACCUAAAUAAGUAAUAUAUAAAAAAAAAAAAAAAAAAGGUUAGAAAGAUGAUGAGAAGGAGAUAGCUUCUUCAUCGAGAAACCUCGGAAAUAUAAAAUCAAAAGCGCGUCGGUGACUUGUACUCUCAAUCUCUUCUUCCUCUCUUUCAAUCUUCCACAUCUCCUCCUCUUCUCUUCUCUAUUCUCAAAUUAUCGAACCCGCCUUGCUCAAAUUCAUCAAUCAUGUCGUACGAUUACCUCUUCAAGUACAUAAUCAUCGGAGACACAGGUGAGACCCACCAAUCAUUAUCGCUCUUCGAUUCCUGAUUUUUAUCUUCUGGAUGAGAUCGAUUUUUCCCCCUAAUUUUAUGGAUUUUUGUUUGUCUUGUCGUUUCAGGUGUUGGGAAAUCGUGCCUGCUUCUUCAAUUCACUGACAAGAGGUUCCAACCAGUCCACGAUCUCACCAUUGGUGUCGAGUUCGGUGCUCGGAUGGUCACCGUUGAUGGACGCCCCAUCAAACUUCAAAUUUGGGACACCGUACGGUUCCUUUUUUCCUUCCUUUGGUCCUAAGAAGUAAUCACGUUUAUCGAUUAGGAUUGUUUUUUUUUUUUUUUUGGCCUAAGGAAGAUGUGAUUAAUAAGAUUAAUUGUCAUAGUCAAUACAGUUUAUCCGUAUUUAUAGAAACAAUGCCUUAUUAGAAUUGCUAAACCUGAAACUAUAUUUGAAAAUCAUGGCCUAAGACUCAAAGUAGGGUUCAUUGAAAUAGAAAGCUCUGAGUUCACCAGUGCAUUUGUGACUUUGCUGAGUCCUUUUUGUACUUUAUUCUGGUCAAUAGUUUUUUUUUCUUUGAGUUAUAUAGGUGCGAAUAUGACAUGUAAAUCUUUGAUUCUUUUCCAUUGGAUGAUGUAUGGGUUUGAGCUGUUUUAUGUUUGUUUUUUUUGUGUCUUCUGGUUUGAGUUUGCUAUGAUACUGUUUAUGAUUCAAUCAGUCGUAUGAUGUUCUAGGCUGGACAAGAGUCUUUUAGAUCCAUCACCAGAUCAUAUUACAGAGGAGCAGCUGGAGCUUUACUGGUUUAUGACAUCACCAGGUUAGUAUUUUCCUGCAACAGUAUAUAUCAGCUUUACUGGUUUAUGACAUCAACAGGUUAGGUCUUGGAAGUUAUUGGUUCUGUUUUUUUUGAACUGGUAAAAGUUAGACCAAUUGGAAAGGUUUUUCGAAUUUAUUACUUCUGUAUCUGUCAACUGGUCAAAUUAGAACAGUCGGAAAGGGUCUGGAAAUUGGUAUUUCCCGUUAAUUUUUACAAUAAAUACAGGUUGGGAAGUUGAUAAAGCUUUGGCUACAAUAUUGACAAUUCUCUUGUGGGAGGAUGUUAAGUUAACUACACAUCUUAGAAUUUUGCUAAAAUGAUAAAUUUACUCCAUUUUUAAAAAACUUUUUGAGAAGAAUGAACGACAGGAAGGAUUGUAAGAGUUUUCUCGUUACGCUUUUCCUGUGUUGAUCUUCCUGCCCCUAAAGCUCAAAUUUGGUUCUUUUGGUUGCAGGAGAGAGACAUUUAACCAUCUGGCAAGCUGGUUGGAGGAUGCUCGACAACACGCAAAUCCUAACAUGAGUAUUAUGCUAAUUGGGAACAAAUGCGAUCUUGCUCACAAAAGAGCUGUUAGCAAAGAGGAAGGAGAACAGUUUGCCAAGGAACAUGGUCUGCUAUUCUUAGAAGCAUCUGCAAGAACAGCUCAAAACGUUGAGGAGGUGACACUGAUUCUUUGCUACUCCUUUUUCCCAUCCUGUUAUUUGGCCGUAAUCACGCGGUGAGAGUUUUGUCUUCUUUUAUUGGAUUAAUAUCACUUAAUAUCGCAUAAAUUCCAACAGGCAUUCAUAAAGACCGCUGCCAAGAUCCUCCAGAACAUUCAGGAUGGUGUUUUUGAUGUUUCCAACGAGGUAAUGCCCUUCACGAAUUCUCUGGUGUUCUAAACCCUUGAUUGUGUUACAGUGUAAUCCAAUACCCUUGAUGUCUCUUAAUUUUGCAGUCAUCGGGCAUUAAGGUUGGCUACGGGCGUACUCAAGGUGCAGCAGGAGGCAGAGAUGGUGCAAUUUCUCAGGGAGGUGGCUGUUGUGGUUAAAAAUUCCUUAAGUCACAUAUCUGCUGUAAUCUGGUGAUUCAGAAACUACUAUUGCUUUUAUUUACCUCUGCAAAUUUAUGAUACACCAGAAUGUAUAGUUGCUUUUUUUUUUUUUAAAUCUCUUUUACAAAUUGUCUUUGUCAAAAAACUAAACUGGUGCAUUUGAGAGUGAACAGCCUGAUCUUUAUAAACAAAACAGGCGUUGGCUUAUUUGGAACAUUGUUGUUUUUGUAUGAAGAAGAGUCGAAGCUCUGAAGGUUAAGCAAUCGAAAUAAAUGAAAUCAGAAUAGCAUCCAGUCCUCAUCUAGUUGAAGUCUCCUUAUUCAUCUAAAGGAACUGGUUUGAAAAAUAUACCAAGAUGGCUUACAGAGAUCCUAAUAAGCAAAUGGCAACAAAAAAAAACGAAGAAGCCAUGAUACCGUCUUCUCUCCUCUUAGUCCCUUUGGUUUAACGCCGAUUAGGUAAUGUCCCUUCCUUAAGUCGCAAGGUAUUGUAUGUACGCGUCACUAACAUGAGUCUCGGAUCAUCUUCUGGUAUUUCACGUUCCUGUGAUUCCCAUAACACAAUAACCAACAACCCAUCAUUAAUUAGUACGACGAAGGAACUCAGUUUAUAAGAUUUGGGAGAAAGGAAUUUUUUUUUACUUUCAAUCCCUUGUAGUAAGCCUCAACGGCAGCUAGUGUAGGUGGAAUCCUUCGAGCUUGCAUGAGAUCCCAGAUCAUAUUUGCAACUGUGUACCCGCCCGUCUGCCAUAAAAGAAAAUAAGUUUUUUCAACUUUCAGUAAGCCAACUCUUUAUAACAGCAAAAAUAUUUUCAUUUGGGGACUUUUAAGUUUAUUACCUUUUCGCCAGCGGCUUUAAGUAGCAGACUGCUUCCAGUUCUUGGGUCCAAGAAGAAAUUGCGUUCGUUCAUUUGGACCUGCAUUAACAAACAAAUUAUCAUCAAGUAAAGGCUCUACCACUGGCCCUUCGAUUUAUUUCAUAGAUUUUUUUUUCAGUACAGCUCGAGCCUUUAAGCAUUACCAGAGUGUCUUGAGCUAUCUUCAUUCCAUUCUCGGUGUAUCCUGUCAUAGCCCCCUCUAUAAGCGUCUGUAGAGGCAAAAAGAAAUAAAUUGACAUCUUCAGCAUAUACAGGUAGCAUAUAGAUCUGUUGAACCAAGUAUCGAAAACAGCAUAUCGAAGCAUAAUUCUCUUCGCCUACUGGAUCCAUUGAGAAUUUAGAUUCAUCUCUAUAUUCAUUUGCAGGAUUUUAGGAUUGAGAAUUAACAACAUAUGUUAUACAGAAGUUCUGAUGCCCGCACUUAAUAUAGAAAAGAAGAUGUUCACGCUUAAAACGAAUAUUGAAAUACUAAUAAUGAGGUCAGAUGAUCGUUACCGUAUAGAGUUCCAUAGCAGGGAUUCUGUCUGCGCUCAUGUAAUCUUUAAACACUUUGAGACCAUUCUCAAAGUCUUGCGAGUGUAGAUAGCACCUAUGUAGAUACAAAGUAAGAUGCUUAUAUGAUAAGCAUAUUUUGAUUUUACUACUAACAAAAGUUUGGUACCUAAAUACUGUCUUCUAACCAAUGAUAAUGCCAAAUGUUUUAACAUCUAAAUGCAUAUUUCAUAAUCUCAUUUAUGUAUACAAGGCCAAUUCAUUUUUGUGGACAAAGACACUGGCACAGGAAACUGUUGUUUAAUAUUGCCAAUAGAAGAAUCACAAUGCAUGAUCUGUUGUACCUCAUAACUUGUAGCACACAAUAAGUAUCAGUGUCUUUUCCAUCUUUCUUAAGCAUCUCAAGAAGUGCUUCCAUUCCCUGCCAUGGGAAAUAGCUGGUCAGAUGCAAAAAUCAACUCCAACUCUAGCUUUUGUUACUCCCAGAGCAGAAAAGUUAUUUUAAAUUCAGGACAUUUUGGAAUUUAGAAGACAAUAUCGCUUACUUUUACAUCCUUUAGAUCAGCAAGAGCACUAAAUGCUACGUGGUACACGGUCAAAUUUCUCUGCAGAAACCUAGUCCUGUGAGCAUAUUCAGCAGUUGGAAUAUUGUACAGCUCCUCUUCACUGAUGCUAAACAUCACAUCUUCUGCACUCUUCCUUGAUGAAUCAAUUGCUGACCAGCCUUUUGAUUGCUCCACGAACUCGAGAAUCUUUUGAGAAAAAAGGAGGAUACGAGAAAAUCUACAUUAAUAAAGAAUUGAAAGGAAGUACAAACAGAAAACCUUCACAGGUUACCUUGGUAGAAAGAUUAUCUGGUUUAGGCUGCUUGUUUAAGUGUGCAGUUAUGAGUCCUGCAUAGCAGAACUGGUUCAAGCCAACACCAGCAGCAGUCAUAUCUCGAACUAUCGCAUACCUAACCAUUAUUUGAUGUCAGAUAUGAAUUAGAUUAGAUCACUUCUUAGAUUGCGCUUAAGAGACAACCAAAUACUUACUUAUAAUAGAGAAAAGAUGCAUAAAACUUAUCAAGUAAAUCAUUAUGCUAAGUUAGCAGGACAAUAGAAGCAGUAACCUACACAAGAUCUAAUUGGCCAGAAACAGCGCAGGCAUUGAGCAAGCAGACAAAGGUCUGUCCAUUUGGUUUUACGUCAUAUCUCUUCAUCUCGUCGUAGACCUUACAAUAAGAGAUAAACCAGAAGGCUCGUAUGUGAAUGAAUAUUAAAGAAUGUAGAAGAAAAAAACUCAUGUACUAAAGCAGGUAAGAUAACAUACUCGGAUAGCCUCCUUUCCAUUCUUGCAUUUCCCACAUGUGGAAAUCAAAAAGUUGUACAGAUUUACCUAUAAAAUGAACACACUGUCAACAACACAAGCAACGGAUGAACUGACUCAUUCAGUAACGUCUAGAAUUAUUGGACAAGGAAUCACUCAAUCUACUGCAAGACUCUCAAAAACUAAGACCAUACUAACCAGAGAAAGUUAUACAAGUUUUCUAUAUAAGAGCCAAAACAAAAGAAAGAUGAGACGACAUACAUCUGGAGCAAUUCCCAUGGCCUUCAUUUCUUCACGGAAAAAGAAAGCAUCACUCAAGCGAGCACCCUUCAUCGUUCCCACAACAAAUGAAUGGAAUAUAUCAGCUGUAGGCUGCACACCAUCUAGCUUCAUAUCAUCAUAAACAUCCCUCAGCAAAUAGUGCCUACCAAAAAGAGAAAGAUUAUCAAGAACUUAUAGUGACGGAGCCAAGCAUAUAUGAUUAUGGAAUCAAAAUGUUCUCAAUCUCAUCACAUUAUGAACACAGUAAGCUAUACAAAUCAAAGGUUGCGAGAAGCUAAGAACAGCACAAACCUGCGCUGAGCAGUAACGGAAUUUACAGCUGUGUUGUAUUCCGACAGAUCAUUGGCGUAAUUUCUCUUCGCGAGCUCCUCCGGCGAUGAAGCGAAGUAGCGCCGACUAACUAGAGCUCGAACCAGAGAUCGAUUCCUCCCUGUUUCCGUCGAUCAAAACACAAAACGUAAGAAACGAAGAAUGCGCACGAAUAAAGAUGGUUUAGUGAAAGAUGAAAAUUGGAUCUAUCUCAUCAGUGAUGUCCAAUAAAUCCAAAGCAUACCAGAAAUGGAUUGAAUGAGGAACUUCAUAGCUCACUUGAAAUCCUAACUCCGGCAAACAAUUUUUUCCGGGAAAGGAGAAGAAAGCAAAUACAAGAUUUUUCCGGUGAGUCUCAGAGAGUGAGAGGAAGGCUGAAUAAUCGAGUUCAGCCGUCGGAAGAGGGGGAUAUAGAAAGCUCAGGCAUCAGGGUUUAGGGAGAGAACGUAAACCGGAUAAUAAACAGAUCUAACCGGAUGUUAACCGGUUUGACUAAAAUGGAUCGCGCUUACGAAAAAGCCUUCAUCCAGUUAGUAUAAAAAUUACAUGGGCCAUUGAUAUAAUAUUGGGCUUGAUUUUAGGACCAGUUGGUGAUGAUCACGUGGCUGUCGCGUGAUCAAGUCAAACGCAAUGGUUCUGCGCCACGUGUAUCCGUAGAGCGAAACGAUGAGGAGAUAUUUACAGUUGGGAUGUCCCAACUACUACAAAUACUUUGAAAUCUGUCGGAAGGAUCACGUGAAGACAACUACUAUAUGUUCUUGCGUUAAGUGAGAACUAUUUGACCAAAAGUGAACACAUUUAUUUUUAUUAAUCAAACUCGUGAAUUUUCCAUGAAAAAAAGAAUUUCAAAAAACACUUUUCAAUCUACUACUAUCUAUACUUAUAGAAUUUUGUAGUUAUUAGUAAGAGAUAGACAGAUAGUACCAGUUUAAGUUUACUCUCUGUGAUUAACAAGCAGUGGUUCAUAUUUUUAUAAGUUAAUUGAUUACAGAUACUAUAAAGUUCGUUCCGGAUACAACGUUAAACACUAUUUAUCAAAACUUUAAAUAUACAAGCUACUUACUGUGGGUCUUUAAAUAAAUGUUUGCAAGCUUCUAUAAAGUUUCAUGAUUAAUGCUCUAAUUUAAAAUUCAAGGAAGAGAACACUUAAAACACAUUUUUAUAUAGAGAAUUAAGGUUUUCGGCGGGUGGAGUUGGAAGUGGAUUCGGAGUUGGUGGUGGGUUUUUUACGGAAAAGGAUUAGCGAUGCUCAUCCGCUUUCUUUCCUGGUGCGUUUAUGCCAUGGCUUCUUCUCGAGGGACUGGAUAGUCCGUAUUUCUCAUGUGUAUAGGGAAGCUAACCGUCUUGCGGAUGGGUUAGCUAACUAUGCGUUCUUGUUACCGCUAGGGCUUCACUUAUUUGAUUCUUGUCCGAGUGAAGUUGUUUCUUUUUUGUUGGACGAUGCUAACGGGACUGAGUUUCCCCGGUGUAUUCGUGUGUAAUGUUACAUUUUAUUUUUAGUUAGUUAAGCAUGGAGACUUUGUCUCCUCUCUUUUACCAAAAAAAAAUAUAGACCGAAUUAAAAAAAAAAAUCUGACCCCCAAAAUAGCAAGGGUUUAAUGCAUUCUUGUUCUUUUUUUUUUUCGUCAUUAGGCGCACCAAAGCAUCAUAAGAAAGAUAGAGACUAAUCAACAUAACAUAGACUUUUUCUUUUGUUAACGAGUAGAGACUACAUACCCAAAUUACAAGUUACAACACGGAAACCUCUCGUAAUAAUUGCGCUUGCCAAAAUUGACAUCGUAAUUAAGGUGAGUAUUGAUUUCAGAAGAGCUAAUUAACAAAGCAAAUCAAGAAAUGUGAUUUGGCAUGAUUUUUCUUUUUAUCUCCUGAGGGAGGCCCACGAGCUACAGGUUCACAUUCACACAUAGAAUUCAAUUCCUUUCCUUCACGUCAUAACUACAGAAUAAUACGAAAAUUCAAUCACUUCAAAGUUUGGUGAGACCAACACACAAUCUAAAGUCCGAAUUUAAUGGAUUUGGUUCAGUUUCUGGGUUUGAACUUGAAGAUCAACUACUAUAGUCUAUAAUACAAAACUUUUGUUUAUUUUUUUUUUCCAUUUCUUUGUACAUAUUGAUGAUGAAACUAACCACAAUAUUACAACCAUACAAGAAGAAGUAGAAGAGAGAGUCUGUGCAGAUGGUAAGAAGGGAGAUUACAGAUCACGUCUACACAUUGGACAAGAUCCGUGCCUCAGUAGCCAAUUGUCUAUGCAAGGCAAAUGAAACAUGUGAUGACAAUGUGGCAGGCUUCUUACGGUUUCACCAAGUUGAAAAUCCUGCAAAAAGAUACACACAAAACAAGAAGAUAGAGAAUCAAAACACUUUUUGUUCGGAAUUUGCGGUUUUAUUUGAGCUGAAAAUGAGCUAAAAACCUGGAGACAAACAGAACACGAGUCUUUGUUUCCACAAGCAUCUAAGUAGUUUGUGCCAGUGAUUUUGAUUUUAGGUAUUUUAUUAACCAAGUCUCCUGCUAAUCCUUUUGAGCCACCCGUAUCAAAGAUGCUCGAGAGCUCUUCGAAAGUUGUAUCCACAGCUCCCAUCUGAUCAGUAAGAAUAGAGAUGAGAAUAGGAUCAAGAAAGAGAGAGAGGGAUCUCAGUAUAACCAAUAAUAAUACAUAGCUGAUAAACUGUACCUGACUUUGAACCGCGCUUAGCAUUGCUGGACCUAUGCGUUCUCGCACAAGUCUUCCACUUAUAAGACUAGCAAUGACAUCAAUCUACACAAAUAAUCAAGAAUCAAAUUAGAAGUUCAAAUCCAAAAAAAGAAAAACAAAAAAAACAGAGCAGAAGGAGUAGCUUCAACGAAAAAGGCUAUAAGAUCUAAGCUCACCAAGUAGAGAAGGCAUCCAAAACGUGACUCAUUAGAUUUCCAGAGAACAAGAGAUGAUUCGAAGACUUCGAUAGAGAAAACAGCUCCUGAGAUGGCUCCAACCGCUGCUCCUCGGAUGAAGCCACUCUCUGUUUCUUGGCCUAUCAAAGCUCCAGUAAGUGCUCCAAGCAAUGUGCCCACUGAAGAAGCAAAAAGGAUACAACUUUCUUAGCUCUACAUGAAACCCCAAAGUUGCAGAUUCUAAUCUAAUCAUAGAAAACUUCUAUCAAAUUUCGGAUUUGCACUACACAGAGACUAGAUUGGGAGAGAAUCUCAAGAAUGUAGAUAAAGAAAAGGAGAGACAUUCAAGAACAGAAUCAAGAAACCAAGAGGCAGACCUAAUGCGAAGAAGAAGGUCAAGAUCGCCGAGAGAACUGUGCCAAGAACAGCAGAGACGAGGAAACGACAUGUGUCUUUUAUCUGGUCGAUGAAGUUCCCAAUAGAGGGACACGAAGAGAUAGGACAAACCCCAGAUUGGAAUAUAGAAGAUGCCAUUUUGUUUCCAGAACACUCCAAAGAUUAAAGUCUGGUAAAUAUAUAGAAAACCCGAAACGAUCUAAACGGUAAAAAAAAAAAAUAAAAAAAACUUAAACUUAAACAGAGCUCAGUGGAGCUUAUAGAAGAGAAGAGAGAUAAGAGGAGUUGAGACAGGGAAGGUAGAAGAAAGAAAGAGAAAGAGAU
rnacentral:lncRNA from 1 species